AACGAACGCUGGCGGCAGGCUUAACACAUGCAAGUCGAACGCUCCGCAAGGAGAGUGGCAGACGGGUGAGUAACACGUGGGAACGUACCCUUUACUACGGAACAACUCCGGGAAACUGGAGCUAAUACCGUAUGUGCCCUUCGGGGGACAGAUUCAUCGGUAAAGGAUCGGCCCGCGUUGGAUGAGCUAGUUGGGGGGGUAAAGGCCUACCAAGGCGACGAUCCAUAGCUGGUCUGAGAGGAUGAUCAGCCACAUUGGGACUGAGACACGGCCCAAACUCCUAGGGGAGGCAGCAGUGGGGAAUAUUGGACAAUGGGCGCAAGCCUGAUCCAGCCAUGCCGCGUGUGUGAUGAAGGCCUUAGGGUUGUAAAGCACUUUCACCGGAGAAGAUAAUGACGGUAUCCGGAGAAGAAGCCCCGGCUAACUUCGUGCCAGCAGCCGCAGUAAUAC
rnacentral:rRNA from 1 species